AACGAACGCUGGCGGCGUGCCUAACACAUGCAAGUCGAGCGCGAAAGUCCUUCGGGAUGAGUAGAGCGGCGCACGGGUGAGUAACACGUGGGUAAUCUGCCCUUGGGAUAGGGAUAACUCGGGGAAACUCGAGCUAAUACCUGAUAAGACCACGCGACGAGAGUCGAGUGGGAAAAGCGGGGGACCUCUUCGGAGGCCUCGUACCUAAGGAUGAGCCCGCGUCCCAUCAGCUAGUUGGUAGGGUAAUGGCCUACCAAGGCUAAGACGGGUAGCUGGUCUGAGAGGAUGAUCAGCCACACUGGAACUGAGACACGGUCCAGACUCCUACGGGAGGCAGCAGUGGGGAAUAUUGCGCAAUGGGCGAAAGCCUGACGCAGCAACGCCGUGUGAGUGAUGAAGGCCUUCGGGUCGUAAAGCUCUGUCGGCAGGAACGAAGGGAGUGCUUUCGAAUAGGGAGUGCUUUUGACGGUACCUGCAAAGGAAGCACCGGCUAACUCUGUGCCAGCCGCCGCGGUAAGAC
rnacentral:rRNA from 1 species